AAACCAUGGUGUGGGCAUUUCCUCAUUAACUCCUUGUAUCUCUCCCAAGCCUCAUACAAGACUCGAAAUCUCCUGUAGAAAUGAUGUGAUCAUUUUCCAAUUUU